AGAUUGAACGCUGGCGGCAGGCCUAACACAUGCAAGUCGAGCGGCAGCACGGGUACUUGUACCUGGUGGCGAGCGGCGGACGGGUGAGUAAUGCCUAGGAAUCUGCCUGAUAGUGGGGGAUAACGUUCGGAAACGGACGCUAAUACCGCAUACGUCCUACGGGAGAAAGUGGGGGAUCUUCGGACCUCACGCUAUCAGAUGAGCCUAGGUCGGAUUAGCUAGUUGGUAGGGUAAAGGCCUACCAAGGCUACGAUCCGUAACUGGUCUGAGAGGAUGAUCAGUCACACUGGAACUGAGACACGGUCCAGACUCCUACGGGAGGCAGCAGUGGGGAAUAUGGACAAUGGGCGAAAGCCUGAUCCAGCCCAUGCCGCGUGUGUGAAAGAACGGUCUUCGGAUUGUAAAAACACUUUAAAGUUAGGGUAGGAAGGGACGAGUUAAACCUAAUAACGUUAGUUAGUUUGUACGUUACCGAACGAGAAUAAGACACCGGACUAACCUACUGUUGCCAGCAGACGCGGUACUACG
rnacentral:rRNA from 1 species